GGGGCGCUGCGGCGGGGGCGCUGCGGCGGGGACGCGUCCAGCGGCCGCAGAACGGGACCUCGCGCCUCCGCCUGACGUGCGGCCCACUCAGGGGACUGGGAUGGGGCCGGCGCGGCUGGGGAGGCCCUUCCCGGCCCGGUAACGCAGCAGGGAGCGGGCGUCGCUGGUUUUCCCGCGCGGUGUUGGCGCAGCUUGCCUUCUGCAGGGGCGCGUUGGCUGCCUGGGCGCAUUCAGCCCCGAACGAUGGACCGCUGCGCUUGGCGCGGCACGGCUGUUGGCUGCCCGGUGUCCGCGGCCACCCUGGGCGCUGCCGGGCUGCACCUGGCGCUCCCGGCGUUUCGGUUAUCGGGAUCUGCGGAAACCAGCACAUCGCGGGGAAAACUAACAACCUCCACCCAGACAUGAUGAUAUUAACUGAUAUUACGAUACGUGAUAUUAAAUGGCGAUCCAAACAACAAGUAAAACAGUGCCGCAUACAUGGUCACACCGUUUCACAGAAACCCCGGCAUACGGCUGUGUUUCCUCUCCGAGUAUUUCAACACCCUCGGUACAAGACGAUGGUACCGAAAAUGCUGUUAGCUGUAACACAGUCACGCGCAAAUACGUUUGAAAAGCAAACAGUGGGUUUACUGUAGGUCACACGACUUGGGUAUUGGUGUUUGUUGGAUCAUGACAGUAUGUUGAUGGAAAUGUUUUUCUGUUUAAUUUCCUUGAUUGUUUGAAAUUAGUAUUUGAUAACCUAUUGUGUACACAAUAUGCCAUUUUAACUGUCCUGGAGCCUGGAGUUCUGCUCAGCCACAAAACGGCACACAAAGCUGACAGCAGGGUGGAUUUCUACAUGCUGCUCACCUUAUGCUCCUUAAUUGUGUUCCACAGAGACAAUGUCUAAAACAGAGGUAGUUUUAUCUUCAUGCCUGUUUAAUCCCUGGCUCCUCUGCUGGGACUGCCACCAGCUCAGGUGGGAUAGUUAUUAUGAUAUCAUUUUAUUAUGGUAAUCUGUUUACUGAGAGAUGAAAAAAAUGCUAAAAAAUGCCAUUUUACAUGAGCCAUUGAACAGCAAAGGAAAAUGUUAUGUCAGGUUAGUGAUGACCUGCCACUGAUUUUAGCAUACAACUAGAUGUGAAAAGUCCUUUAAACUCUAACCAGUCCCUGAAAGUAACUCCAGUUGAUAUUUCCUGUUCAGGACCAUCAUUUGCUUCAUCCAGUUUCUUACAGGGCUUUGGAUGAAGAAGCUUUAAUCUUUAGGAGCAAAACAUACUGUUGAUCACAUUUGUAAUCCACUACAUUUAACAAUACUGUUCUUUAUUUAAAACUUCUUCUCUGUGUAUGGGAAUUGUGUGUUCAAGUAUCCAAUUUGUAUGCAGAUACAGAAAAUAAGCAUGCAUUUUUACUAGGGUAAUAAUACUUGCUCAUUGUUUCUUUACUUUUCUACAAAUCUCUCUAUUUUCACAUACAGCCUUCUUUGGAGACUACAUCUAUGGCUAGGAUUAAAUAAUUAAACUAAAUUAAAUGCAACCAUCAGAGUCUGUAAAACAAAAUUAUAUAUGUAUAUGUAUUUCCCAAAACAUUAAAUCACUUCCAUUUCUUCUCAUUCAGAUAAGCCAUUUUUCUUCAAAUGAGUCAGCGUUGGACUAAGGCCAAUAUGAGAACUUCACCCCCACUCACAACAGAUUUUUAAUUUCUCACUGUAGUGCACUACAUUGGUGCUAUAAUAAAAUUACUGAUUUUUUUAUCUCAUGCGAACAAUUGAUCAUUCCUAAUAUGCAGUAAUGUAUCCUUACCAUAAUUAAUGGGAAUGGCUGUCUGUGACUGAUGUCUUCCAUCAUGAACUCUUCCAGGCACCUCUUUUAUGCAUGAAUUAUCACAACUUUUUAAACGUGAAAAUGUUCUGUGGCAAUGUUUACUGCAGAUUGCCCAACGCAUUUGUUAAUGCAGCAGGGUGAUAGAUGGGUGUGGGAAAUUUAUAGCAACUGUUGCUCCCAUGGUUAAUCUACGGUAGUAAUGUUAGUUUCAGUCUGAGAUACUAUUUCACUUACCGUUUUAGCCAUCAAAAAUGAAAGCCUAGUCAAAGACUACUGAAACUUUAGCUAGCUAGCUAGAUCACAGCUCCUGAAGAUGUUAUACAGACAAGAUACAACUAUCUAUACAAAUUAAGAAAAUACUAGGAGUUAUCCCAGGGAUUUAAAAGUGCUAUAAAUAUCAAGAGAGUAUUUCGAUUACAGCUUCAACAGAGUCCCCAGCAACGUUAAUUCCCAGUGUUGGUAUCCCAGUUACCAAAUAAUUACAGAUUAAGUGCACAAAGUAAAAAACACAGAGUUAGAUAAUGAGUCUUUCAAGUGAGGCCAUGCAACUGAUCCUACUGAAAAUUUAAACCAUGAUUUCACAGCAGACACCAAGUCCAAACUCCUCUCGUUCAAACUUCUAUUUUUAUAUUUGAACAGGAAUGCUCAUAAAUACUGCAACAACACGCAGCUAAACUGAAAGAACAGUCGGUGAAACAGCCACCUCUGUUUGUCCCUUUCAGGAGUUCAGUGGUCUAAACAAAGUAUAUACAGUUUUUCACAGUAACAGGGUUUAAUUGCUGCUUUUCCCUGUUAAUACUGUUGUUCAUUACAUUUGUGCAUUUCCACUUUUCCAAGAGCUAGACUGAAAGGCCCCCCGGCUAAGUGCUUCUGCUUAUUAAAUGCUCAAGUAGUGACUUGAAUGGUGGAUUGUAUCUUGAUUUGAAUUGGGACUUCUGGACACCAUUACAAUAUAAAUAUUAAAUAAUAAUUACUGAAAGUAAUAGCUACCUGAAAGACAUAAAGAGACAAUAAGUAAUCUUUCCUUUAACAAGUAUAUAUUGGAGUUUAUUUUAGAUACUCCAUAAUUUAAAUUUGCACAUGAUCUGUCCAGAAUGUCUUACUGUAACAUUGUCUGAAUUGAUCUGAUUCACAGCUGGAUUACACUACAUUUACGCUGGUGAAAUCAACACAAAACUGAUUUCAUUCAGUGGCAAUUAAGUCUUAGAAGUAUAUUGUUAUGAAUUCCUAAAUGCAUAAUGCCUAUCUGGUACACUUAAAGACAAGCUAAGUAAACAACCUCUGCUUGGUCUAACGGUGAUACAAUCCCAAAUUUACACUGGUUAAAUGUUGCAUUACACCAUUUAUGGUUAUGAAGAAGUUUUUUCCUGUAUUUGGUUGUCUUAUUUUUCAAACAGUAAACAAAAGUAAUGAAAGUAAAUCUGUUGUGUGACUAAGUUUUGGAGUAUUAUGCAAGUACCAAUAGAAAACCUUUGUAACACCACAACGUAUUUUGUAUAUGCUGUGUUCUAGAAAUGAUUAGGAAUGUUUUAGAGUUAUUUUUAAGCAUUUUAUUGUGUCUUUUUGUUUGUAUUUCUUUUCCUUGGUUACCAUGGGUGAGCUCCUGGACUCUGAGGAACAUUUGGCUGAACCUUUCACAUGGAGGAGAAAAGACAAAAAGGUCCUGCAGAUCUCCUUCUGGCCACACUGAGUUAACAAAGAGUUAAACAUGAAGUCUGCAGAAAGAGCCAACUAUGAAGUUGCCUAAAACAAGCCAUGCACUCAGUAUUUUGCCUAUGUACCGACAGUGGUUUUGGACUGCCUUUGAUAAGGUUCUUGGAUCCAAAAAGGGUAACAGUGAGUGCAGCUGAGGAUACUUGUGUCUGGAAACCAACCAUAAAAGAACACUGUACAGCUUCUAAUCAGAUCUGGCAUAGCUUUCCUAUAGAAAAUCAGUCAUGCUAGCUCUAUAGUAGCUCUCUACUGGUUAUAUUGCUUUGCUAAGGUUAAUAAUUAGUGCUGCACCCUGCAGGAAAACCAUCACUCCUCACUCUCUCUCCACUUAUAGGAAAGACGAAUUUCUGUGGCAACUUUGUUUAAAAUUGGUUAUGGUGGGUUUUUUAAGCUAGUGAAAACCAGACAGAAUGUGUUCUGGCAUAACAAGCUGGUGAGCAGGUCAUGUGUAGACACUGUAAAUGUUAUCACAAAUAUCAUUCCAAAAUUAUUCUCUAUAGGCACAUUUAUGAUUAUAUCAGUUAUGCUAACCAUUAAAUAAAUCCAGAUUUCUCUAA